ACGUCAUUCGCGUUCAUGCAUGUGUGUUUACAUAUUCUCAGUUUUCUAACUGUCAAAUGUCAAGAAUUAAUUUACGAGUUUUCAAGUGCUUAGGGUUUCCCGUGAGUAAUUCAAAAGGACCAUUCAUGCUCUAAUUUCCAAUAAGUCAUUUGGGAUGUUUACUUAACUCCAAUUUUAUGACUUUUUGAGCCAAAAGUAACACUACACAGCCAGAAAAACAAUUUUAAACACCCGGACAUCCUGACUCCUGGAUAACCUAAACGCAAAUCCAGCAUCUUCCAACAGGAAAAUUAAAAAACGGCUCAGAACCACACCCUUCACAAGGACGAGGAGCAAAAAGUUUGAAAUUCCGGUGAAAUGGAGUCCUCAUUCCCCAUUGAUGACGAAUUAGCAGUAAUCCUUAUUGCGCACAGUUAAAACACCGGUUCUGUCGUGGGGGAAAAGAAACCAACUUUUCGGAAUGUUAAUUGCAGAAUCACCAGGACAGGGAUAUUUGGCAGUAUUUAAAAUUUAUUUUGCAAUUUCGUGAUCAGAUAAGUAUUCAAUAAUGUAUAUAUUAUAUUGUAUAAAAAUUAUUAAUUUUUAAUUACUUUUCUUUGUUUUUAAAUUGUUUCUAAAAUGUUUAUUUAUGUUAAUUGUGUCUGGAGAUAGUGGCAAACCGAGGAAUUAAGCUAUAGCAGUUAUAUCUUUUUAUUAAUAAUCCUAGGUGUGUACUGAUUUUAUUAUUAUUGCAUUCAAAAUGGUAAGCAACUAAUUAUAUGUAUAAUAACUUAUAAUAAAUAUAACCAAUUAUAUAUACAAUUCACAUUCCACUUUUUUUAAUUCUAUAUUCACCCUCUUGUUUUUGUUUUUCUUUUUUUGUUACGAAGGUGAAGAGUUUUCAUUUCGUAUUGAAGCUUAAGGCCAUGCGACGAGAGGGUGACGUGACCAAACCUGGUCUUCGAUUUUUCUUUUUCAACUUACGUCUAAACGAAAUGAGGUAUCGCUUUGAAAGUUUGGGAAAAUAAAAG